rnacentral:lncRNA from 1 species
AUGAUGCUGUGUCAUGAUGCUGUGUCGUGAUGCUGUGUCAUGAUACUUUGUCAUGAUGCUGUGUUAUGAUACUGUGAUGUGAUGCUGUGUCAUGAUACUGUGUUAUGAUGCUGUAUCAUGAUGCUGUGUUGUGAUGCUGUGUCGUGAUGCUGAGUCAUGAUACUGGAUCAUGCACAGCCGCCAGACACACAAUGAGAUGUUGGCGGCAUAAGGCAAUGAGAUACAGAGGAUGAGGCUCCUGUCAGAUCCAGAGAGCUUCAAGGCAAGUGAUUAAAGCAGAGAAGGUAGUGUAAGGAGAACUACCGGGCGGGAGGUACCUUGGGGUAGAGAACCUGACGGCCAGAGAUACAAGUUGGGUACUAUGGUGUAGAGUGGUGAUAAGCGAGAGAUAAAGGUCAAGGUGUACUUUAGGUGGAGUGCUUCAACCCACUAGGUAUAUGGUCAUGGGUAUUAGGGAGUGGAGUGCGUCAUGGCACGAAAUAAUGGUCAAAGCCACUGUGAGGUGGAGUGUUUGAAGGCAAGAAAUUCAAGCAGAGGGUAGUUUAAGAUGGAAUGCUUGUUAGCAAGAAUUAAAGUCAUGCGUAGUGUAGGGUGAAAUGCCUCAAGGCGAGGUGUUCGCCAGGUUAUUGUAGGGUGAAAUGCCUCAAGGCGAGGUGUUCGCCAGGUUAUUGUAGGGUGAAAUGCCUCAAGGCGACGUGUUCGCCAGGUUAUUGUAGGGUGAAAUGCCUCAAGGCGACGUGUUCGCCAGGCUACUGAAGGGUGAAAUGCCUGGACGAGGUGUUAGGUCCAGGGUAUAGAGGAGGGUUCACUCCACGUUACAUGUUUCCGUGGUCAAGUUACCUCAUACCUGUAAACUGGCUUCAACCACACCGCCACCCACAAAACUUUGUUCUCUCUCUAGUGGUCAGGAGACCGUAAAUAUUUCUGAGCUGUGAGUGUGGCACACAUAUACACAUAUUUUCCUUCAACCAAAAACUAAUGUGUCCAUAUCUUCGCCAGUCGGCUAAUGCAAAACACUUGUCUCGGAGCAAAUUUUAUUGGAGAAAAUUAUAUCCUCAUUGUAUGCCGCAUUCGUUCUAGAAGAUCCAAACUUGAGUAUGUAGGUCAGAAAAAAUUGUACCCACAUUUUAUGAGUCGGGAGAAAAAGCUAAGUAUUUUUGUUUAGGUGCCGCCUGUGACUCAGGCAACCCCUCAGAUUUGGCCCACAAGAGCAGAUAACAAGACGUCCUGGUACACAAAAAGCGACCGCACAACAGACAUCUCCCCCAACAGGGCGCACGUGAUGGCCUGCUCCCCCGUGCUGGUGGCUGUGGGCAUCAUGUCAACCUACAUGACUGAAACCACGUGGUAAACCGAGUGUUCCAGCAGCAUCACACACAUACACACCCAAACCAACGUGUUUCAUAAGUAACAUAAACCAAGCAGAAAGCAACAAAAUAUUAAUAAAAGAAAGAAAGAUUUUGUUCUCGUAAAACUUCCGCCAAAGUGAACCUGCGGGUGACAACUACUGCUUGACGACCACCGCUGCUGUGUGGAAUGGCCCCUACACCCUCACACCGCCCCGCCCCACCCCGCCCCACCCCGCCCCGCCCUACCCCGCCCCGCCCCGCCCCGCCCCGCCUACCACAACAAGGAUACGUUAUCUUUAUUAUUAGGGAUAUUCUCUCACAUUCCUGUUAUUCAUUAGUAUCAGUAGCUUUUUGUCAUAAAGUCAGUAUAAGGAACUUGUAACAUAACAUUAAUCAUCGCUUCUUUAUGAGUAAGAAAAUGUUAAUAUAUACAUUCAUCUUAUAAAUGUGUGUAUACAAUUAUCAAAAAAUUACUUAUUUGUAUAUGUAUAAAUAUAUAUACAUAUAAAUGCAAUAUAUAUAUAUAUAUAUAUAUAUAUAUAUAUAUAUAUAUAUAUAUAUAUAUAUAUAUAUAUAUAUAUAUAUAUAUAUAUAUCAAUAAAAUUAAGGAACCAUGAUUAAUUUUUGGAGUCCAGUAAUACAUUUGUUAAGCUGAUAAAGGCUUCUUAAAGACUUGUUGUAUAUUAUAAUAAGUCUAAAUCAAAUGCUACUUAAUUUGUUAUUUAAAUGCACACGAGUUGAGAUAUAUGGUAGGCCAUGUGCAGUAGUCAAGUUCAGUCGACUGUGUACAGUGUGUUAGUACAGUGUAUUAACACAGUGUAUUAGUACAGUAUGUUAGUUCACUGUGUUAAUUCAAUGUAUUUGUAAAGUGUAUUAAUACAGUAUAUUAGUGCUGCAUAAUGUUUUGGUACAGUGUAUUAAUACAGUAUAUUAGUGCUGCAUAAUGUUUUGGUACAGUGUAUUAAUACAGUAUAUUAGUUGUAUCUCGAAAAGUUUGUAGCUUCAGUAAGAUUUAUAAAAACUAAUAUCAUGAAAAUUUACAUUUUGCAGUAAAUAGAUUUUUUCUCUAUAGAUAACUUAGAAUAUAUAUAUAUAUAUAUAUAUAUAUAUAUAUAUAUAUAUAUAUAUAUAUAUAUAUAUUAUGUAAAACUAGAGUAACUAUUUUAAUAAAGUGCAAUAGUGAAGCAUGACAACCCAACCAAAGGUGACAUACUGUUCCGUGAGUUAAACUGUACCAUUGUGUGUUCCUGUACCGUUCCUUGUACCGCUCGGCACGUGCCUUUUAAGUUACUGUAUAUUUUUGGACUUCAAUUCUCGAGUACUGUUAAGGGUGAAGCGAGGUUAAGGCCGCCAUCUUGCCCCCUACCACCAUGUAAGACAGGCCUUGGCUCUGCUCGUGUUGGGUCUAGUCUUUCUUUGGCUGACUCAGUUCUUACAACAUUUUAAUUGGCCACUUGUUGUUGUUGUUGUUGUUGUAUUGUUUUCCUAUCUGUGUUUAUCAUUUUGUCACCUCCUGAAUCUGUUGCGAGGGUCUUAAAGAUGUACACUUGUAUAAGACACUGUACUGGUUUGUGAGAGAAGGAGGUGGUGGGUGUGUGUGAGGCCGACCCCUCACCACUACUACACCACUUCCACACACCACUACCACACACCACUACCAUUACCACACACCACCACACACACCACUACCA